rnacentral:SRP_RNA from 1 species
GCCAGGUAUAGUGGGGUGUGUGCCUGUAAUCCUGGCUACUUGGGAGGCUGAGGCAGGAGGAUCACUUGAGCCCGGGAGUUUGAGGCUGCAGUGGGCUGUGAUCAGGGCACUGCACUCAGCCUGGGCAACAGAGUGAGACCCUGUCUCAA